rnacentral:rRNA from 1 species
UAUCAACGCUGGCGGCGUGCCUCAGACAUGCAAGUCGAACGAUUAAGACUCCCUUCGGGGAGUGCAUAAAGUGGCGCACGGGUGAGUAACACGUAAGUAAUCUGCCUUUGAGUGGGGAAUAACCCGGGGAAACCCGAGCUAAUACCGCAUAACGCAGCGGCACCGCAAGGUGGCAGUUGUUAAAGGAGCAAUCCGCUUGAAGAGGAGCUUGCGGCAGAUUAGCUAGUUGGUAAGGUAAUGGCUUACCAAGGCUACGAUCUGUAUCCGGUCUAAGAGGACGGUCGGACACACUGACACUGAAUAACGGGUCAGACUCCUACGGGAGGCAGCAGUCGGGAAUUUUGGGCAAUGGGCGAAAGCCUGACCCAGCAACGCCGCGUGAAGGAUGAAGUAUUUCGGUAUGUAAACUUCGAAAGAAUGGGAAGAAUAAAUGACGGUACCAUUUAUAAGCUCCGGCUAACUACGUGCCAGCAGCCGCGGUAAUACGUAGGGAGCAAGCGUUGUUCGGAUUUACGU